GACUACUUUGCCAUUUUUUCCAGAGAAUUAAAAUAUACCUGGUGUAUUAUUUUUAAGACUACUGCCAUUUCAUGAUUAUAUAAUCCUACCAUCAAUGUGUGCUGCUCUGUUUUAUUCCAAAAUAGCCUGUCAUGGUUUUUUCUUUUUUUUUUUUCUCUCCUUAGUUAUUUUGUUUAUGCCGUAAAUGUGCUGUCCACUGUUGAAUUUCUGGUAAGUUUAGUGAAUUAGCUCGCCACUCUUUAGCGAUUAAAGCCUUUUGUGUUCUGCUUUGCUUAUGUGUCACCUUCAGGUUGGCAAAAUGUGGAGCUCCGUGUCCUUUGUCAACUUUUUUAAUUGGUUGCCGUGUUCAUACUCGCCUCAUUCCAGCAACGCUUAACUUCAGG